rnacentral:lncRNA from 1 species
CGGGGUUUCACUGUGUUAGCCUGGAUAGUCUGGAUCUCCUGACCUUGUGAUCCGCCCGCCUCGGCCUCCCAAAGUGCUGAGAUUACAGGCGUGCGCCACCGUGCCCGGCCAACAACAGCUAUUUAGAGGAAGCAAUGGAAAGUCAGAGAAGUGAAGUACGUGGCCCAUGUCACCCAGCUAAUAAGAGGCAGAACCCAGAGUCACACCAGGUCUGGCCGACUGCAGCUGCAGUCCCUCAUCUCUUCAUGACUGUGCCUUGUAACAGGGGAUGAGUUGAAAACCUGGAACACAGCAGAAGGGCAAUUUGUUGGGCAAGCUGUAUGGUGGUGGGUUCUUUAAGAAACCGCAGUACCUGAUGCUCCCCUCUUAGCUCUGAUGUCUGUAAUCAUGUAGAGAAGCCAUACCCCAGUGUAAAGAAAUGUGCAAGCAUUUUACAUAGUAUGUUGAAAGGAAAU